rnacentral:lncRNA from 1 species
AAUUUUGCAUCCUCAGACAAGAAGGAAGAAGAAUGGAAGAGAGACAGAGAAUGGGAAAGAAGAGGCAGGGUACCACGUCCUCAGAGGCACAAGUACUGUUGCUGCUGCAGUGGUCUCUACUCAUCCUCCAGUCCUCAGGUAGUAGUUCCAAUAAAACGACUUCUUAGAUGUCUUAAGAGAUUUUCUGUAUUCAAUCUCUGUCAAAAUACCCAUUUGAAUUUAAUUUAGAAUUAGUCAAUAUUUCAUUCCCAAAACAAAACAAGAGCAACAACAAUAAGAAUUUAAAGCAACAAGUUGUGAUUGGAACCCUGUACUGAUGAAUUAGAUUAGAACACAGAACAAAAGAAAUACCCAACCUUUUCUGAUAUACACACAUAGACACUCAUACAUGUGCACAUUCUCUUUGUGUGUGUAUGUGUGGGGGGGUGGUGUUCAUAGCAGUCUAAUGGAACAACUGCCAUUAGAGUUAUUAUAUAGUUGUUGGGGUGGAACAGUAUGAAACUUUUCUGUGCAACUGCAAAAUUUAUACAUUCUUUGGGAGGCUCUGAAAUAUAGGUGUGUAAUGCUUUUUAAUUCAUGUAUAUACUUACUCACUAAUUUUUUUUCUGCAAUGCUAGGGGUUGAACCCAGGCCUUGUGCAUGCAAGACCAGUGUUCUACCAAUUAACUGCAUCCCCACUCACUAAUUCUUAAUUUUAGGACAUCUAGUCAGGCUAAGAAUUAUACAAAGUUCUCUGAGAACUUUAAAUUAAAUAAAUCCUUAUUCAGUCUCUCCUUAGUAGAUUUUGAAUCAAGUUAUUGUAAAUAAGGGAAUUAACAAAUUUAAAAUGUGUUAAAAUAUAGAGAAUCAGAACAUAUAGUCAUUACACUACAGUAUGGGAAAUGGAACUCACAUGAGGUUUCUCACUGGGACCUUGUGCAAUCUACUUAAUAUCUCUCAAGAUCAAUUGUUUUGAUAAAAUGAGGGUCAUAAAUUUUCUCUCACAAAAUUAUGCAUCGCAUGAUAACAAAAGCAUCUAGAGCAUAGAAUAGGUGUUUGAUAAAUAUCUAUUUUCUUUUAUCACCCUCUGGCCACUUUCCUAAACAUCUGACAUAUAAUCUACUUGUUAACUGAUAGGUGCCUUCCAAGCACUUGACCAAAGGAUGGAGUUCUUAUCAAAAAAUAGUGCAUGGCUUGAGACAAAGCAACUCUUAUUAGCAAUACAUUAGCUAAAGAGAUUUUAACAUAAUGACAAAUGGUUCAAGGUUUAGGAUGGCAUAAAUGGUGAUUAAUGUCUACACCAAUAAUUUAUUAGGCACACACACCCUUCUCUUUCACAAAUUCUGUAAGCUCAAAGUGCUAUGACAACCUUGGAUAAUGAACUGUGAAAAAAUAUCUCCAGAAUCAUCUAAGGAAUACCAACAUCUAGGUACUAACUGGGUGACAAUGUAUUGGCUAUUUAAGGUAUAUCUCAACAUUCAAGAAACACAGGCUUUGUUUUUUACCAGGGGGAUUGCAGAAGUAAGGGAGAGUUUUUCUUCUUGUUGUUCGGUUUUUUAUUUUAUUUUUAUUAUAGGAAUGCAGGUUGAUUCUUGGGCCAAAUAUAAAAGAACUUUGCAAAUAUUAUCCUUAAAUGCAUUCGGAUAUAUCUUGCUGAUUUCCAAGACAAGGAUCUCAAAUGUAUUAUGACUUGUGAAUAAAAUAUGGAUGGUAAAGAAUGGGGAAGGUCAUCUGGGAAAACUAAGUUUACCUUAGAAACUAGGUAAGCAGAAGACUCAUGUGUGUCCAUAUACAGAGAGCUUUUUAUUUGUAGGUAAUAACGAAACAUAUUUACAACAAUCGUAGUUAUUUACUUGAAGACCUAUAAUCAAGUGAAAUGUGACUGACUUGAACAAGAGACAACAAUAUCAUCCUUACUGGAUAAUUCUAAUGAAUGGCAACUUCUUUGUUAUGAAUGAAAAUGAAACCCAGUCAGAUAGGAUAUUCUCCUCUAGUUAUUUUCCAGUAGUUCUCACAUCCCUCUAGAGCUUGUUAUUUUCUUGAACUUGCUCAUUUUUCUUCUUGCAUGAGGUGGUGUGUGGAGUCCACUGUGAUUGAGUAUAAUUUUCCCAGAUGAAGUCAUAAAGAAUGUAAUGAACACAAUGUUAGAGCAUGAUCUGAACAGUAUGGAGUGCUGCCCAGACACUUUAAUUCUUUAUUCGAUUCAAGACAAAAGUACUUUUUAUGGCUAUAAUACCACAUGAUAGACUUAUAUUGGGUUCUUAAUUAACUAAAAUCCUAAAUUUUGUUUUGUUUUUCACAUUUGCUGCUAAGUUAUAUCUUUUUGAUCCUGAGCUGAGUUAGCAUUUUUUCAGCUGAUUAUAUUUAGUUCAUCACCUCAAGUUAAUUGAUCAAACAGAUCCAAUUCUUCUCACAUCCAAUUCUUCUCCCUAACCCUAACCCUAACCUUAACCCUAACCCUAACCCUAACCCUAACCCUAAUUAUGGAUGGUAAAUUCUCACAUUUUUAAAUUUAAUAUUUUCUAUCCAAACCAACCCACUUUGAAUUGGAUUUUCAAGGUAGAAGUUUAUUUCUUUGUAGAGAUUGUAUUUUAGACCUUUUAAAUGAAGGGUUAAUAUGUUCCUAUAGGAAAAUAGAUAACGUAAUCUACAGAAAUCUCAGACUUAACAAACUUGGAAAGAUUUGUUAUUUUAAUGUUUCAGUGUUUCUGGGUAUUUGGGGUUCAGUAGAAAACCUCAGUCAUACUUUGCCCAAAGCAAUUCUUAAAUUUUUAAUUAUGCGUAAUAAAUCCAGGCAUAUUUAAUCCGUAUAUUUCAUGAUUCAUUUACACUUCAAUCACUACGUUGUUAUUUUGAAGAACUAUUUGAUGUCUAUAAGCCCUUUGAGCCUUUAAUAUAUGCUUAUAAAACCCAAUACCUCCUCAUACAUACACACACACACACAUUCGCUCACACACACAUUAUUUGAAAAUGGAUCAUUAUAUUUUGCUCAGGGGGAAAAAAUCAAAUGCUUAUACUUGGGGUGUGGUUUUGGCCUCUAUACUACACUUGGCUAGAUAUUAUACUCAACUAAAAAUCAUUCCUCUCUGAAUUCUUUUUUUUAAAGCACAUUAAAUUUUAAAUAUCUAAAAUAAUAUUUUGGAGAUUUGUUGCUAACCAAAUAGAUGAAAAAUGUAAUUGAAGGUCUAGAAGAUAAUUUAUAAACCUUGCAUCUCCAUUCAUAUCAAGUUUCAUAAAAAAAACAUUGCAAAAACCCAUCCAUAGUCCUUAUUUCUUUCCUGAUAUUUAGACCAAAAUAUCCAGUUGGUUCUGUACUUUUCUGUUCCAGUGUGGAUAGUAUGACCCUGUAGAAAACUGAUUUGAUUCUAGUUUCAUCUUUUUCCUCCAGAAAAUCUCACACCUUUCUCUCAACCCUUUCCAUUGUUUCUUUUGCAGAUUUCUCACCUGGGAAAUGCUAUUAACCAUCCACCCAGCUGCCUGCUUCAAAGCUGACAGAGUUAUGAACCAUGGAAGAAGAAUUCCCAUUUCUUCUGGACAUCACCCACACUGUGGAAUCUUAGGAUUUCUAUCUCCCAAAUAGAGCUUGAAUCUAUCAAGGAUCUACCCAAUAUGUAUGUCUGAAUGAUUUUAAUAACUGCCAAAUUUUUGCUUUGUUUCUAGUCUUAAUUUCAUGUAGUCUGCUUUUCCCAUGGCUAUCCAAAUAAUCAUUCAAAAAUGGCUCUAAUCACUCCCCUAUGGCCUUCAGAGUAAAUUCAAGUCCUGAACAUGGCUCACAGGUAUCUCCAGGAUUAUCUCUCCCCCUCACUGUCCACCAUUCCUUUUAUCUUUUUCUGUGCACUUCAUGGGAACAUAAUGUCCUUUAAUUUCCUUCUCUCACCUCCAACCUAGCUAAAAUCCUCUCUUUUGCCUAGAAUAUUUCUUUUUUUCCCCCUACCUUACUGAGGAAUUUUUCAUACAUCAAAAGAAUAAAGUUUCUCUCUGAGCAUGCAAUGUGGAGAGAGGAGAGGAAGGGAGAGAAGAU